GACGAACGCUGGCGGCGUGCCUAAUACAUGCAAGUAGAACGCUGAAGGAGGAGCUUGCUUCUCUGGAUGAGUUGCGAGCGGGUGAGUAACGCGUAGGUAACCUGCCUGGUAGCGGGGGAUAACUAUUGGAAACGAUAGCUAAUACCGCAUAAGAGUAGAUGUUGCAUGACAUUUGCUUAAAAGGUGCAAUUGCAUCACUACCAGAUGGACCUGCGUUGUAUUAGCUAGUUGGUGGGGUAACGGCUCACCAAGGCGACGAUACAUAGCCGACCUGAGAGGGUGAUCGGCCACACUGGGACUGAGACACGGCCCAGACUCCUACGGGAGGCAGCAGUAGGGAAUCUUCGGCAAUGGACGGAAGUCUGACCGAGCAACGCCGCGUGAGUGAAGAAGGUUUUCGGAUCGUAAAGCUCUGUUGUAAGAGAAGAACGAGUGUGAGAGUGGAAAGUUCACACUGUGACGGUAUCUUACCAGAAAGGGACGGCUAACUACGUG
rnacentral:rRNA from 1 species